rnacentral:rRNA from 2 species
AAAUUGAAGAGUUUGAUCAUGGCUCAGAUUGAACGCUGGCGGCAGGCCUAACACAUGCAAGUCGAACGGUAACAGAAAGCAGCUUGCUGCUUCGCUGACGAGUGGCGGACGGGUGAGUAAUGUCUGGGAAACUGCCUGAUGGAGGGGGAUAACUACUGGAAACGGUGGCUAAUACCGCAUAACGUCGCAAGACCAAAGAGGGGGACCUUCGGGCCUCUUGCCAUCAGAUGUGCCCAGAUGGGAUUAGCUUGUUGGUGAGGUAA